rnacentral:lncRNA from 1 species
GAAAACGUUGUUCUAACGUUGAGGGGUCAGAGGUGAGGGGUCAGCAGCAGGUGAAGAAGAGAAAGGUGUCCAGCCCCCCUGAGGGUCACACUGCCCCUGUCAUCUGUCUAUCAUCUCCUGAAGUCAUCAAGUCUUCUGAAACACACACUGUCAACCAGACACACAUCAUCACACCCUCACCCACACAAUCCAACACUAAGCCGAAACUCACAUACACACACUCUGACUCUCAAACUAAACUUAAACCUUCACGCACACACCCCAAACCCAGUUCAACAGCCCCAGAAUAUACUAGACCCAAACUCAUUCCCCAUUCUGCCACCAAGCCCUCCGGUAUCCCUGCCGACAGCCUGACUGUUGCCAAAGAGUCCUCUAGCAAGAAAGCCACUCACACACUGUGCAAACCCACACACACACUGUCCAAUAGCCAGAAGCUCACUGACAAACAUUCGGACAAGAAUGAGUCUCAGAAACAUACUGAAAAGGCUAAACCUACUCGCACACACAGUGAACGCACACACAGAAACCGCACACACACUCGCAAACACAGUGACCUCACACGCACUGACAAAGCCAAAGACGGACACAGUGACAAGACCAAACGCAGACACAGUGACCGCAAACACACUAACAGACAUUCUGACCACUCACGCUGUCACACCAGCUCUAAGAGACAUAAUCGUAGCUCCAGCCGUUCCUCCAAAGCCUCCCCCAGAGCUAGUCCCUCUGAGCCCCCCCUGCUCUCCCCCUACUCCCCCGCUGCAUUCUCCCCACCAGAGCCACUUCUGCGGCGAGCCUAAGCCAGGUCAAACCCAGCCAACCUUCCCGCCUAGUCAACAACAAACUACCCAAACAGUCAGCCAACCAACCAAGAGACCUCCCAACCCAACCUCAGCAGUCAGACCUCUCCCAGACCCAGGCCAACCCUCCCAAAACACCUCUUACCCCCACCUGCACCAGAAAGAACCGGACCCAUGACCCCCCCCCCCUCGGACCCAUGACCCCCCCACCCGGACCCAUGACCCCCCAACCCCCGGCAAUCCCUCCCUGCCUCACUCCUCCACCUCCACCCCAGCCAGGUCCUGUCUACGCCUCUGGGGUUAAGAAGAAGACUUCCAUUGUAGACUGUGAUCAAUUUGUGGAAUACUUUGUCUCUUUGUUGCGCUCCCCCCACUUUCCUCCUGCCCUAACCACCCCAGAGAGUGCAGAGAGCGCUGAGGCUCAUACCAGGGCAACAGGCCCUAACCCUGGAGGGGAGAAGAUGAGGGGUGACUCAAAAGGUCAUGCCAUCGCCAUAGUGGCGGCAUUACCCAACCCGCUAAAAAGGAAGCUAUCCCUACAGGAACCCGAGGACAGAGACCCCUGGAACUACGAGAGCCGACAGUUCACUCCCAACUCCAAACCUAACCCCAACUUCAAACCUAACCCAAACUUCCAGAACCCUGACUCCAAACCUAACCACAACUUCCAGAACCCUGACUCCAAACCUAACCACAACUUCCAGAACCCUAACUCCAAACCUAACCACAACUUCCAGAACCCUAACUCCAAACCUAACCACAACUUCCAAAACCCUAACCCUAAACCUAACCCCAACUUCCAGAACCCUAACUCUAACCCCAACUUCCAGAACCCUAACUCCAACUCUAACCCCAACUUCCAGAGUUAUACCCCCACUACCAAUGCCACACUAGCCCAGGGGGGUUACACUGGAGGGGUUACCGUUUCUUCUAGCCCUAACCCCACUGACCCACAGCCCCCAGAGAUUCUACCUGGUUACACCUACCCUGGUUACACCUACGCUGGUUACACCUACCCUGGUUACACCUACCCUGGUUCAGGUUACGCUGGAGUUGUCAGUGUUAGUCAGUUCACUUCCAACUCCCCCAUUAACCCUAUCCCCAGCCCCAGUAACACACAGUCACAGCCACAGGCAAGGUGGUCUGGGGGCAACUGGGGAACAGGCUACCCAGGGGCAGGCUAUGUUACAACAGGUCUAGCUGGUACUUCCUACCCUGGAGCUGUCUCUUCUGGAAGUGGACCUGGCUACCCUGGAGUUCUGCUCUACCCAGAGAUGGGCUACUCAGACAUGGACUGCCGUGGACAGGCUUACCCUAGGUCUGGGACUGGACUCGGCUCUACUGGGACUGUUAUGCCCCCAGGAAGCCUCUACUCUACCACACCAUCUCCAGCCAACCCCAGCUAUUUGGCCUUGACCCAGCCAUCACUUGACCCAGCCAGCUACUCCGCCUGGACUGCUACUGACACCGGGGUUGCCAUUGAAACCAGCACAGCAGAGUAUCUGCCACGCCCUCAGUGAGGACCCCGCCAGCCUGGAUUUCCUUAACGUGAAGCACUGACUGCUGGACAAUCGCUGGACAUGGAGGAGACGUAUACACACACACAGAUUGAUAAAGUAAAAUUUUGUUACCGAAUGUCAGUUUUAAAAUGAACAUUCUUGGUUUUCCUCUAUUUUGUAUUACUUAAAGGUAACCCUCUUGCCAGAGCUUGAUCUGUCGCUGGUGGCUCAGCAGAAGUAGUUACAUCCCUGUGGGAGGGGCCUAAUCUUGUCAGAAUAAACUCCCAUCCAAUCACUUGAAAGCUGUUUAGUUUCAAUGACUACUGAUUGUGGCAUAAGAGGAGCAAACAAUAUUUUUUUAUGUUUACUACUAUUUUUUUUUACAUUUACUUUUUUAAAGAUACAAGACAGUAUAUUUUAAUUGCAAACCAAGCGAAUGUUAUACUCAAGCAAUGUUCACCAUUUAAAUAAGGCAUAAAAGAUUCAGUUGAUGUUGAUGUUUUCUUGAAUGUGGAUUAUUAUGUUUAAUGUGAAUAUUAUUUUUGUAUCUUAUACGUUGGUAGCCCUUUACUCUCGUACCCGUAUACAGAUUUGGGGCACUAAUAAGCUCCUACAUUGGAACGUAGUGGCUUUUCAGUAACGUGCUAUACAUGACGUCAGAGUUCUGUCUGUGUGCCUCACAGCGCUGUAUGGGUUUUGACUGACAGACGUUCUGAACUUGAGCACCGUGCGCAACAAGAAGUUGCCCCUAUCCCUCCCGGUAACUGGCCAACUUUUGAAAUGUUUUUGUUGUCUGAGUGAGCAAAAUGCUAUAAAUUGAGAUUACUUGUAUUUUGAAAUAUGAGAAUUUGAGUAUUAUAAUAAAUACCGCUUUGAUGUCAUACAAGCAUGCCAAACACCUGUGUGUCCAAAUGUGCACUUCACAUUUCCAAAUCAUAAAACUCAUGUUUACUACAGUAUCAACGUUUAGCACCACCAUGUUUGAUGUAGUUACAAGAUGACAUGGCAUCAUACCCUGGGUUGUUCUGAACAGAAAUAGCCUAUGUUUGUUUAUUGUGAUGGAAACUAGAGGCUCCACACGCACCGAAUGCACUUAUGACUCCUUUCUAUGCGCCCCAACAUGACCAUCUGUUUCUCUGAAUUGCCUUGUGAAAGCCUAACACUGCAAGAUCGUAUUUUAUGACUCAUUUUGGCAAUAGAACGAGCUUUCAAAUCAUGCCCACCCUACCCACGUUGCGGUUUAUAAUGGACUGUUUUUGGAUUAUGUAAACAACAGCAGUAAUUCUGUGAUGGCGGGAAUGCAGGGUUGUGUUCCAAAUGAAACAACUACAAGUGUUCUUGCUCUCGUUCCUCAACGGCACAGCUAGGAGAGUUCAAAAAAUACUUUCAAGUUGAAGACUUUUCUUUGAGUCAUAGAAGUGCAUUGAAAUUAUUUAGGAACUGUGCACACUUUGGGGAUGUGUGUGGCCACUUGGAGACACCAGUUUCCUUACUCAAACCCUUUUUAGUUUUAUGUUGCAUAUUUUCCAGGAAUAGUCUUGUCAUGUUACUGAAUGUAUCCAGAGUGUCAACAAAUGCACAUAUAAUCAAGUGUAAUGUUUGGAAUCAGUCUGGUGUUAGAUGAACUGUUGGACUCACAUUAUCUCCAAACUUUUCCCUUUCAGUUGCUACCAUGGUUAUGCAUAUGCUUUUCAUAUUUCUUCUGUAAGAAACAUUUACAUUUAGCCCUAUCCAUAUAAGCCAAUAAAACAAUUCUAUGCCUCGGCCAGAAACUGUGUGUGUGCAGGGGCAGGCGGGCUCGCG